CAUGUUGCAUGAAUCAUGGAUUAUAUAUGUAAAUAUGUUUUAUUUGAAAAUGCAUACUCUUUCUGCUAUUAUAAUAAAAUAGAAAAACUAUUUCAAAUAAUUUUCAUUGAUAAGUGUUUAAUAUAUGUUGAUUAUAAUAAAACUCAAACAAUAUUUAUUUUGUAUCAUGACAAUUUCAACAACUUUUUCUGUGGGUUAUACAAAUCCAUGGUAUACGAGGGUCAACUGUGUACAGUAUAUUUUAAAAUGUGUUAUUUUUAAAGCAAUAUAAUUAAAUUUAUAUGUUUUAUUAUUUAUAUAUUACAAAACACAUAUAUCAUAGUUAUAUUAGCGAAUUAAAGAUUUAAAAACAAACAAAUCCGUAAAAUAUCAUAAUCAUAAUUGCCAAUGUUCAAAAUUUUUAAAAUGAUAUUAGAGCAUGCUAUCUAUUUAAGUCUUCCUCUCUUGAAAUGAUGAGCAUUGAUUAGUCUUUUUCAGUUGAAAGUGCUGUAAUCAACCCAACUCAGUCAUAUGCCUCACCCCUAUUCUCAGUCAGAACAGAUGCAUCCAAUUUUAACUUCCACCAUUCAGAUUCAAAUUGAUAGACUAUAACCAAUCAACUUCCUGUAAGCUCCAUUUUGUGGAGCAAUGAACACCUUUUCGGAACUGACUGUACUUACCUUAUGCUAUCUAAUCCCCUGGGAACCAAUUACUUUUCUAAUAUUAUCUCUCUACCAUAUGUAUUGUUGGGCAGGAUGUAUUUUGUCUUGGCUGCUAUUCUAUACUUUUGUAGUCCAUAAG
rnacentral:lncRNA from 1 species